UGAACGCUGGCGGCGUGCCUAAUACAUGCAAGUCGAGCGAACGGACGAGAAGCUUGCUUUUCUGAUGUUAGCGGCGGACGGGUGAGUAACACGUGGAUAACCUACCUAUAAGACUGGGAUAACUUCGGGAAACCGGAGCUAAUACCGGAUAAUAUUUUGAACCGCAUGGUUCAAAAGUGAAAGACGGUCUUGCUGUCACUUAUAGAUGGAUCCGCGCUGCAUUAGCUAGUUGGUAAGGUAACGGCUUACCAAGGCAACGAUGCAUAGCCGACCUGAGAGGGUGAUCGGCCACACUGGAACUGAGACACGGUCCAGACUCCUACGGGAGGCAGCGGUAGGGAAUCUUCCGCAAUGGGCGAAAGCCUGACGGAGCAACGCCGCGUGAGUGAUGAAGGUCUUCGGAUCGUAAAACUCUGUUAUUAGGGAAGAACAUAUGUGUAAGUAACUGUGCACAUCUUGACGGUACCUAAUCAGAAAGCCACGGCUAACUACGUG
rnacentral:rRNA from 1 species